rnacentral:rRNA from 1 species
AGAGUUUGAUCAUGGCUCAGAAUGAACGCUGGCGGCGUGCCUUACACAUGCAAGUCGAGCGAGGCGCGGUAGCAAUACCGCAGUCGAGCGGCGAACGGGUGAGUAACACGUGGGUGACCUGCCUCUAGGUGGGGGAUAACCCGGGGAAACUCGGGCUAAUACCGCAUAACAUCGUGAGAUCAAAGAGGGGCGCAAGCCUCUCGCCGAGAGAGGGGCCCGCGUCUGAUUAGCUAGUUGGUGAGGUCACGGCUCACCAAGGCGACGAUCGGUAUCCGGCCUGAGAGGGCGGACGGACACACUGGGACUGAGACACGGCCCAGACUCCUACGGGAGGCAGCAGUGGGGAAUUGUUCGCAAUGGGCGCAAGCCUGACGACGCAACGCCGCGUGGAGGAUGAAGACCUUCGGGUCGUAAACUCCUUUCGACCGAGAUGAAUUCCCGCCGGCUUAAUACGCCGGCGGGGUGACAGUAUCGAGGGAAGAAGCCCCGGCUAACUCCGUGCCAGCCGCCGCGGUAAUUC